ACUCCUUCUCAGGAGAUUCUCAUGCUGUUUCUCGGCUGCUUCCAGCCUCAGCUUAAGACAGUCCUCCCUCCCCCAGCUCUGAACCAGGACUGAUGCUGCAUGCACACUGGCCACUUGUAGGGGCGAGGGCUCCUGCACCUCGUUCUUCCCCUCCCACCCUUCUCCAUUUCUCUGCCAGCAUUGGGAAUUUGGACCUGAAGAGUCAGUGGCGGUAAAGUAGGAGAUGUGAACCCAAAUCCCCCUCCUCUCUACCUUCUGCAGGUGCAGCGCAGAACAUUCCAAAGCUGUGGGCUCCCUACACCCGCCAAAGUGAGAGGACAUAUGGAGCUUCUCCUUGUGUUUCCAUUCAUUCUCCCUUCUCUCUGCACUCAGAAGGAAAUGGUGGUAAUUCCCAAGUGCAAUCGAGGACAUCUUCGUGAGGCCAGCAAACACCUGCAGGGACCAGCCUUGUAGACCACAGUCCGGAACCCAGGCCAUGACAAUACAUGUGAUUCAUCUACACAGGCACCAGCUUGGGAGAAAGAGGAAGAAAGGCAACUCUUUGAGAACAGCAGAACUGAAGAUCUAGCCAAACGUCUACGCAAGAUUUAGGGAAUGGACACUUAAGAUGUUUAGAUAAGUUAUUGAAAUAAAGAAGCUAUCAUUUUUGGCA
rnacentral:lncRNA from 1 species